UGCUAGUCGCACGAGUUCAGACUCGUGGCGAAUAGCUCAGUAACACGUGGCCAAACUACCCUUCGGAGCACGAUACCCUCGGGAAACUGAGGCUAAUAGUGCAUACCACAUCACAGCUGGAAUGAGUGAUGUGCCAAACGCUCCGGCGCCGAAGGAUGUGGCUGCGGCCGAUUAGGUAGACGGUGGGGUAACGGCCCACCGUGCCAAUAAUCGGUACGGGUCAUGAGAGUGAGAACCCGGAGACGGAAUCUGAGACAAGAUUCCGGGCCCUACGGGGCGCAGCAGGCGCGAAACCUUUACACUGCACGCCAGUGCGAUAAGGGAAUCCCAAGUGCGCAGGCAUAGAGCCUGCGCUUUUGUACACCGUAGGGAGGUGUACGAAUAAGGGCUGGGCAAGACCGGUGCCAGCCGCCGCGGUAAUACCGGCAGCCCGAGUGAUGGCCGAUCUUAUUGGGCCUAAAGCGUCCGUAGCUGGCCGCGCAAGUCUAUCGGAAAAUCCACCCGCUCAACGGGUGGGCGUCCGGUAGAAACUGCGUGGCUUGGGACCGGAAGGCGCGACGGGUACGUCCGGGGUAGGAGUGAAAUCCCGUAAUCCUGGACGGACCGCCGAUGGCGAAAGCACGUCGCGAGGACGGAUCCGACAGUGAGGGACGAAAGCCAGGGUCUCGAACCGGAUUAGAUACCCGGGUAGUCCUGGUCGUAAACAAUGUCUGUUAGGUGUGGCUCCCACUACGAGUGGGUGCUGUG
rnacentral:rRNA from 1 species